UACGGGAGCAGCAGUGGGGAAUAUUGCACAAUGGGCGCAAGCCUGAUGCAGCCAUGCCGCGUGUAUGAAGAAGGCCUUCGGGUUGUAAAGUACUUUCAGUCGUGAGGAAGGUGUUAAGGUUAAUAACCUUAGCAAUUGACGUUAGCGACAGAAGAAGCACCGGCUAACUCCGUGCCAGCAGCCGCGGUAAUACGGAGGGUGCGAGCGUUAAUCGGAAUUACUGGGCGUAAAGGGCACGCAGGCGGUUAAUUAAGUUGGAUGUGAAAUCCCCGGGCUUAAACCUGGGAAUGGCAUUCAAGACUGGUUAGCUAGAGUCUUGUAGAGGGGGUAGAAUUCCAUGUGUAGCGGUGAAAUGCGUAGAGAUGUGGAGGAAUACCGGUGGCGAAGGCGGCCCCUGGACAAAGACUGACGCUCAUGUGCGAAAGCGUGGGGAGCAAACAGGGAUUAGAUACC
rnacentral:rRNA from 1 species